AUUGAACGCUGGCGGCAUGCCUUACACAUGCAAGUCGAACGGUAACAGGUCUUCGGAUGCUGACGAGUGGCGAACGGGUGAGUAAUACAUCGGAACGUGCCUAGUAGUGGGGGAUAGCUACUCGAAAGAGUGGCUAAUACCGCAUGAGAUCUACGGAUGAAAGCAGGGGAUCGCAGACCUUGUGCUACUAGAGCGGCCGAUGGCAGAUUAGGUAGUUGGUGGGAUAAAAGCUUACCAAGCCGACGAUCUGUAGCUGGUCUGAGAGGACGAUCAGCCACACUGGGACUGAGACACGGCCCAGACUCCUACGGGAGGCAGCAGUGGGGAAUUUUGGACAAUGGGCGCAAGCCUGAUCCAGCAGUGCCGCGUGCAGGAUGAAGGCCUUCGGGUUGUAAACUGCUUUUGUACGGAACGAAAAGCCCUGGGUUAAUACCCUGGGGUCAUGACGGUACCGUAAGAAUAAGCACCGGCUAACUACGUGCCAGCCGCCGCGGUAA
rnacentral:rRNA from 1 species